ACCAAUUCUGGGGGAUAAUUGGUUCCUCUUGGCAUAAUGGCUCGGACGCAAUAAUAAUUGUGGCUAUCCUGAUCAAUGGCGAUUCAAUGCCAUUUUGAUCCUGGAAACACCUCGUACAUUU
rnacentral:snoRNA from 1 species